UUUUUUUUUUGCUGAUGCAGGUUAUUUUAUAUGGAACAAUUUAAGGAUUGAGCAUAAGAACAUUUGAAGAUGCUGCCAGAGCCUCACUGGGCCAGUUACCUGUUAUCUCCAGACAGUGCAAUUGCACCAGGAAGGCAUAAAUGGGGCUCAGUGUCCUCUCCACUGAGCUGAACAACUGCUAAGAGAUGGAAGCCAGAAGAACAAUGAGAGUGCCAACAAGCUUCACUGCAAAACUCAAAGAAUUGCUAAAUGAAAUCAGCAAAACAGAGUUCAAGACAACAAACAGCAGUGACAACAUGAUAGGAAGAUGCUGUCCAGAGGUAUACCUUGCUAACUCUUUCCAGCUGAGUGAGAAGGAAUACAUGUAUUUGAGAAUUUGGGAGGACAUGAAGAAGACUGCAAACUGGUGAAAAUAGAACUGUGUUUGGCAAUCCAUGGACCAACACACCAGGACUCCCACAAGAUAGUGUGAUAGUGGCCAGGCUCUUUUAUGGGAGAAAUGGAAUAAGCGGUGUAGGUUACUCCCUCCUCCCGGAUGCUUCAGCAGAGUCAUCUUUCCUGUCAGGAGGCAGCCUGGCAGCCCCCUGACCUUGCCAGCAGCCAGGCAAGGCACUACUGGCUUAGAAAAGACAAGCAUUUCAUUUCUGUCCUGCACAGCAUUACCAGUGUAGAUUGUGUCAGCAACAUCUCAGCACAGUAAAACUUGGGGUAAAUACCUCCUGGAGAUGGAGGAAAUGAGUUGCAGCUCUGGAAUAAUUGUUUCAGGCUAUCUGCUGACUCAGGAAAUCAUAUCUGCAUCCGACAAAGGCUGUUCACAUCUCAAAAGUAUUUUAUUGGGCAGUAAAAGGAAGAGAAUAAUUCAAAAACAAGCCUGAGCCUGGUAUAAUCAGAUGAUUCUGAAGCUGUUGCCACAAACAAGAGCAACUUGCUUAAAUGCAGCCCGUUUCCUCUUCUCAUGAAAUUAUCCAUAUCUUUGCUAUAUUACAGUAAAACUUACAUGUCUUCAUCUGUAGCCUCCUGCAUCUUUUCAUUUACCUCCACUUAUUCCUAUGUCUCCAGUCCUUCACGUUUUCUAGAGAGAGUGCCUGAAGUUUGAGAAAUAUUGGAAUAAACAAAACUGGGUUUUGCAU
rnacentral:lncRNA from 7 species